AUUGAACGCUGGCGGCAGGCCUAACACAUGCAAGUCGAGCGAGCGGCGGACGGGUGAGUAAUGUCUGGGGAACUGCCUGAUGGAGGGGGAUAACUACUGGAAACGGUAGCUAAUACCGCAUACCAUCGGAUGUACCCAGCUGGGAUUAGCUGGUAGGUGAGGUAACGGCGCACCUAGGCGACGCUCCCUCGCUGGUCUGAGAGGAGGACCAGCCACACUUGAACUGAGAAACGGUCCAGACUCCUACGGGAGGCAGCAGUGGGGAAUAUUGCACAAGGGGCGCAAGCCUGAUGCAGCCAUGCCGCGUGUAUGAAGAAGGCCCUCGGGUUGUAAAGUACUUUCAGCGGGGAGGCGUUACCCGCAGAAGAAGCACCGGCUAACUCCGUGCCAGCAGCCGCGGUAAUUC
rnacentral:rRNA from 1 species